rnacentral:lncRNA from 1 species
GGGUGAAGCCAGGUCCUGGAGUUAGUGCCAGACUCCUGGCAGGAAGAGCUGGGUCCUAGAGUCUCACUGCAGGUACAGGAAUCCCAGAGCUGGUGUCAGGUUGCUGGAGGUGGAGGCUGGGGGACAUUGGGGCGGGGGUUCUAUUCCUGACACAGCUGGCUAUAUGGUCCAGGGUGUCCUGAAGCUUGUGCUGGCCUGCUAGUAAGAAGCGCCAGGGCCCAGCUGGUGCCACUGUAGGGUCUGACCUGCUGGAGGCUGUAGGAGCAGGCUUUUCUCAAGACUGGCGUUUGCCCACUGGUGGAAAGAGCUGGGUCUUAGCCCACUAGUAGUCUGGGCUGUAUGGAGCAGCAUCUGCAAAUGUUGGUGGGCUCAAGAAGACUGGAGGCAGCCUGUCUGCUGAUGAGGGGACUGUGCCUCGACACAGCUAGUUGUUUGGCCUGAAGAGUCCAAGUACCCGGUCCCUACAGGCUGUUGGGUGUGGCCAGGUCCUGGCGCUAAUGAGAGAAGGAGGGUCCACCUGGCUCCACUACCACCACUUCCGGUUUCUGCACGUGUAAAAGGAGCUCCCAAAUAUGGCUGCAGCUGGUGCCUCUGUCUCCUGGGAGGUCCGCCUCUUCGGGAGAUGCUUCAAGACCAGCAGAGGUUCACAAAUGGAGUAAACCCCAGACAAUAUGAGUGUUUACCUCCGAAAUGA